UACGGAGGAUCCAAGCGUUGUCCGGAUUUAUUGGGUUUAAAGGGUGCGUAGGCGGAUUGAUAAGUCAGUGGUGAAAGCCUGCAGCUUAACUGUAGAAUUGCCGUUGAUACUGUCAAUCUUGAGUAUAUUUGAUGUGGGCGGAAUGUGUCAUGUAGCGGUGAAAUGCUUAGAUAUGACACAGAACACCGAUUGCGAAGGCAGCUCACAAAACUAUAACUGACGCUGAGGCGCGAAAGCGUGGGUAGCAAACAGG
rnacentral:rRNA from 1 species